CAGUGCGGGUCAUUAGCAUUUGGAAUAAUUUACCAGAAUCAGUUGUCUUGGUGAAUUCUAUUAAUGCUUUUAAACAGCAUCUCGACACUUCUUUUGGUCAAAUUUUGUGUGAUUUUCAUUGACUUUGGGUUGUUGAGUAUGACUUUGAAUUGUAAAAUUGUGUCCUGUGCUGUGCUGUGUCUCCACUCGGGAUUGCCAACCUGACUGCAUUGUCUUGCCACUUGCUCAAGAGUGUUAUGGCAGUGGUUUGUGUGGUCUUGGUGAUGCCACAUUAGCCAACCAUCAGAUCAUCUAAAGGACAAUCUACUUGCUGUCUUGGUUGUAGGCGUCACCUGAUUCUAGAUGGGGUUCUCCCCAUCUAGGUAAGAAAUGUAGGUCUCAAAUAAAGGAACAAGACUUCAGACAAAAGCCAGAUUGGUGAGGAUCAUUGUGCUGGAACAUCAUCAUCAUUUCAUAGACGCCUGCUCCUAGGAGCUGCCACCAGGGGACGGCCACGGCAGAAGAGUUUCCAACUGUAACGCAUCACAGCAAUGCUAGGGAUGCUAACACAGGCCUCCCCACAGAGUAGCAGAGGGCAGAGGGCGGCGUGCGGCCCUGCAUUGCAUCAAAUCAGCUGCCCCAUCACGGCCAUGCCCACGCCCGUCAUUCUGGGCCAAAGAGAACCUCGGGUGGCAGGCAGCACAGCGGGGGAGGCGGCGGUGCCAGGCCAGGAGGAAUUUGGCGAUGACAUUUACCGUCUGGCGAGGGAGCAGCCGUGGGUGGUGGCAGCAACUCAUCGAGCGGCGUGGAGGAGGGAGCCGCCAGGGUGGACCACGCCUACAGCCUGCACGUCACCGCCCGCCAUGCACUAAGGGCUGUGGGCGUGCAUGACCGCCAACCAAAGACUCAGCCCAGAGGAAGAGCCAGGCCAGCACCACCACAGGGACAGAGGACGAUGAGGAGAGUGUUCCAACGCUGCUCCAACUCAAGGUUCAUAGGCCACACGCUGAGCCCUGCCAAGAUGUCCUGCCAGGUGGUCGGCCUCCACCCCUACACCUCCCACUGGUUCCUCCUGCUGCCCCACUACAAGGAUGUGCCAAGUAUGCCCUCCAGCCUGCAGUCCUUGGAUGACCCUCCGCGUGCCGUGGAUUAAGGCCAACCUUAACGUGUGCAUAUCUGGUGAGCUCUGGGACCACCCUGCCCUCCCUCACCCACAGGGAUGAGCUUAUCAAGGAGUGGGCGAAACCCUCCACACUCUGACCUGUGUGUUGGCCCGCCAUGUGUACGCCCUCGGCCUCAGCAGUCUGCCGCUGGAGCGCGUCGGUGAACGGCGACUCGUCAGGAGGGGCUUCACCAAGCGCUCCGGCCUGGAUGUUAGUGCUGAGUGUUGCCUCCCAGAUAGUGAAGUCGGUUAGUCUGAAUUGGUCUUAGAAAUCACUACGUUUACCUCAGUUUACUAAGGAGGAAAUUACACUGAAAUCUAGGCGUCCGGAUUCUGAUGUGCAGGGAUUUGUAAGGGAUGUGAGUGCCUGAGUGUUGCUGUUGGUGUCGUGGAAGUCCAGGAGUCUGAAUUGGUCUGAAAAAUCCCAGUAAAAUUUAUUUUUGCUAACGGGGAUUUUGUAAGCUGAAAUAUAGUUGUCCAAAUUCUGAAAUGCAGGAAAUUCAUAAAAGUAACAAGUGCCAGAGUGCUGGUAGUGAUUCAGUAACAGUCUGUCAGUACAAAUUCCAUUGCUCUGAAGAA